rnacentral:rRNA from 1 species
AGUGAACGCUGGCGGUAGGCCUAACACAUGCAAGUCGAACGGCAGCACAGUAAGAGCUUGCUCUUACGGGUGGCGAGUGGCGGACGGGUGAGGAAUACAUCGGAAUCUACUUUUUCGUGGGGGAUAACGUAGGGAAACUUACGCUAAUACCGCAUAUGACCUACGGGUGAAAGCAGGGGAUCUUCGGACCUUGCGCGAUUGAAUGAGCCGAUGUCGGAUUAGCUAGUUGGCGGGGUAAAGGCCCACCAAGGCGACGAUCCGUAGCUGGUCUGAGAGGAUGAUCGGCCACACUGGAACUGAGACACGGACCAGACUCCUACGGGAGGCAGCAGUGGGGAAUAUUGGGCAAUGGGCGCAAGCCUGAUCCAGCCAUACCGCGUGGGUGAAGAAGGCCUUCGGGUUGUAAAGCCCUUUUGUUGGGUAAGAAAAGCAGCAGGUUAAUACCCCGCUGUUCUGACGGUACCCAAAGAAUAAGCACCGGCUAACUUCGUG